rnacentral:rRNA from 1 species
AGGACGAACGCUGGCGGCGUGCUUAACACAUGCAAGUCGAGCGGUAAGGCCUUUCGGGGUACACGAGCGGCGAACGGGUGAGUAACACGUGGGUGAUCUGCCCUGCACUUCGGGAUAAGCCUGGGAAACUGGGUCUAAUACCGGAUAUGACCUCAGGUUGCAUGACUUGGGGUGGAAAGAUUUAUCGGUGCAGGAUGGGCCCGCGGCCUAUCAGCUUGUUGGUGGGGUAAUGGCCUACCAAGGCGACGACGGGUAGCCGACCUGAGAGGGUGACCGGCCACA